GACGAACGCUGGCGGCGUGCUUAACACAUGCAAGUCGAACGGAAAGGCCCUGCUUGCAGGGUACUCGAGUGGCGAACGGGUGAGUAACACGUGGGUGAUCUGCCCUGCACUUCGGGAUAAGCCUGGGCAACUGGGUCUAAUACCGGAUAGGAGCCAUUUUGAGUGUGAUGGUUGGAAAGUUUUUUCGGUGUAGGAUGAGCUCGCGGCCUAUCAGCUUGUUGGUGGGGUAAUGGCCUACCAAGGCGGCGGCGGGUAGCCGGCCUGAGAGGGUGGACGGCCACAUUGGGACUGAGAUACGGCCCAGACUCCUACGGGAGGCAGCAGUGGGGAAUAUUGCACAAUGGGCGCAAGCCUGAUGCAGCGACGCCGCGUGGGGGAUGACGGCCUUCUGGUUGUAAACUCCUUUCGCUAGGGACGAAGCUUUUUGUGACGGUACCUAGAUAAGAAGCACCGGCUAACUACGUG
rnacentral:rRNA from 1 species